UUUUUACGUGAGCCAUAGCUUCAUUCAUACAAUACUCAACGCCAAUAACUUUUGAACACUUAAUCAGGGGAGAGCGCGAACGCAGUCCCCCACUACCAGAAAUUAUGCAGUCGAGAUUCCCACAUUUGGGGAAUUCGCAGAGGUCAGACAGCCUCAGUGCAAUGGCUGAGCCUCGCCCUGGGUGAACCACCUACAUGAUCAUGGUAUCUCCCCUGCCAGGUAAGUAGGAGUUGCUGAACCCGCGCUCGGGAGCCCCUUUCACACGUGAUCCCUGAUGACUGACGGUGCUGAAAAUCAUUAAACUCACAAAGUACAACGUCUCAGAAGGACGUGAAAGCACAGAAAUCCACCCCAAAGGUAAUGCGUUAUACAUAAGGACACAGACGUUAUUUAUAUUUUUUACGAUAGAAUACCACAUCUCCCAUCGUGCUUUGUAGCAGUUCCCGGAAGUACGACACCCAGAAGAACAGCUUUAUUGAGUUCUACUGGGCUCCACUGUUUACUUUAGGGACUGUUUUAACCGUUUAUACGGUAGUUAAAUGUCUACAGUGAUAAAGAACGGUUCGUCCAAAAUUUACCGGUGACCAUAUACUUGUAAAAAACCAAUCGCGUGGCAGAACUGAACCGCAGACAACCAAUCGAGUCGCAGCUGAAAUCACACAAACAGCGCCUGCGUGGGUAAAAAGCGACUCCACAUUUCUUUUAACACAGACUGUUACAUAUAGUUUAGAUCAGCCGAAGUCUGUUUCUGCACAUUACUUAAAUUGCAAAGCUGCCUGAGGACCUGUUUUGCGGUCACUGUCCCUUAUUCCUGUUGCUCCAGGUAUCAGACCAACUUCUGUUGCCUGCUGUUCGCUGUAUACGAUAGCUUCUACACGUGGUCUUCGACAUUGACGACAGCACUGCAGAAGUUCCGAGAUCUUACUUUCUUCACAGCGCAGCUUUACUGGUGGUCUGAAGCCUUUCUUUAUUGUGGAGGUCACCUCAAACCUGCCGUAAGAGCUCGGCAAAGACACAAUACAAUAAAUGAAACACGACAAUCAUUAAGCUAGCUUAGCAGACACGAAAUCGUUUAAACUUAUAAUUCAAAUAAUAAACUUUACCUCGUUGCCA
rnacentral:lncRNA from 1 species